GACGAACGCUGGCGGCGUGCUUAACACCUGCAAGUCGAACGGAAAGGCCCUGCUUUUGUGGGGUGCUCGAGUGGCGAACGGGUGAGUAACACGUGAGUAACCUGCCCUUGACUUUGGGAUAACUUCAGGAAACUGGGGCUAAUACCGGAUAGGAGCUCCUGCUGCAUGGUGGGGGUUGGAAAGUUUCGGCGGUUGGGGAUGGACUCGCGGCUUAUCAGCUUGUUGGUGGGGUAGUGGCUUACCAAGGCUUUGACGGGUAGCCGGCCUGAGAGGGUGACCGGCCACAUUGGGACUGAGAUACGGCCCAGACUCCUACGGGAGGCAGCAGUGGGGAAUAUUGCACAAUGGGCGGAAGCCUGAUGCAGCAACGCCGCGUGCGGGAUGACGGCCUUCGGGUUGUAAACCGCUUUCGCCUGUGACGAAGCGUGAGUGACGGUAAUGGGUAAAGAAGCACCGGCUAACUACGUG
rnacentral:rRNA from 1 species